GCUUGGCCCUUCUCCCAUGUAGGGACGCAGCAUUCGUCCCUUUCUCCGUGUAAGGAUGCGGCAAGAAGGCGCCGUGGUGGAGGCAGAGAGGGGCCCUCACCGGACAGUGAGCCUGCCGGCGCCUCCAUCUGAUCUUGGACGUCCCGGCCUCCAGACACGUGAGAAAUUCAUCUCCAUGGCUUGUAAGUUGCCCGGCCUAACGUGUUUCCUUGGGGCAGCAGGAAGGACUAAGAUGCCACCUGUAAUCGAAGCGGCACCCCUUGCCCACUGGCUGCUCUCGACCCGUUUCCUGGGUAUUUCAUUCCUAGCCCUCGUCACAGGCUCUCCUCAGUUCUUAAUUCCUUUGUUCCUUCCUUGUCUUUUCCACCUGACCAUGAGCUCCGCGAGGGCAAGGGCUUCCCUGCUCCCCGCGGGCGCAGCCCAGCGUCUGUCUGGCAAGAGGAGGGCGCGUGAGCCAGUGCUUGCUGCGGAGGAUCGGGAAGGAAAGAGGAAACUUCGCCCCGAGGAAGCUUCGCAGCCUGGCCUGGUUCCGUGUUAGCCAGGAGGAUGCCGGGCGGAGGAGGUGCAUGAAUGCCAAGUGCUGAGCAGGCCCGCUGCGUGUGGGGCAGGGGUGCAGACCUUGCCCUGAAUCCUCCC
rnacentral:lncRNA from 1 species